GACGAACGCUGGCGGCGUGCUUAACACAUGCAAGUCGAACGGAAAGGCCCUGCUUUUGUGGGGUGCUCGAGUGGCGAACGGGUGAGUAACACGUGAGUAACCUGCCCUUGACUUUGGGAUAACUUCAGGAAACUGGGGCUAAUACCGGAUAGGAGCUCCUGCUGCAUGGUGGGGGUUGGAAAGUUUCGGCGGUUGUGGAUGGACUCGCGGCUUAUCAGCUUGUUGGUGGGGUAGUGGCUUACCAAGGCUUUGACGGGUAGCCGGCCUGAGAGGGUGACAGGCAACAUUGAGACUGAGAUACGGCCCAGACGCCGACGGGAGGGAGCAGUGGGGAAUAUUGCAAAAUGGGGGGAAGCCUGAUGCAGCAACGCCGCGUGCGGGAUGAAGGCCUUCGGGUUGUAAACCGCUUUCGCCUGGGACGAAGCGGGAGUGACGGUAAUGGGUAAAGAAGCACCGGCUAACUACGUG
rnacentral:rRNA from 1 species